CUUGUUGUGGAGUUUAAUGGCAA
rnacentral:siRNA from 1 species